rnacentral:lncRNA from 1 species
CCGGUUUUCUAUUAUGUUUCUCUUUUUUAGUUUUUCUUACACUUUACAUGAUAUUGUAUCUCAAGUGCUUAACCAGAAGAAACCAAAUAUGAACCCUUGUGGGAUUUCUCUGAAACAAGAGAGCAUUGAGAUAGCAAUAACAAAGUAAGAUCAACAAGAAUUUGAAAGGAUUUAACAUUUAAAUAAACACCCAGAAUUUAUUUUCCAGGUAAUGAAUCAAAAAUCAAGCUAAUCCCCUAGUAAUUUGAUUAAAAAUAAUCCUUUUUAACACAUAACUCCAACAUAAACAGAAAAAAAUUGAACUUAAGAGAACAUAGGAACAAGAAGCUGAAAAAGAAUCACCACCAACCAUAGACAACUUGUAUGUAUUUAUGUUUAAGCCAUCUAAAGCUCCUUUUCAAAGACCCUUUCACCUUACUUUCUGCACUGUACAUCUUGUAGGUAGCAACCCUUUUUUUCCUUUGGAAUUCAAGCUCACCAAAGUUCCAUGGCUUUGAACAAUUCCCAUUGUUGGGGUAAUAGUUGUCAGCCAUGUGGGACUGUGAAUAUGGAGCAGUAUAGCACCACAAAUCAUAAUUAGAAGCUGGUGGUGGUGGUUCAUGGUAGGUUUCAAGCUGCAUCAUCAUCCCAUUACCAUAGGAUCUUGAGCUCUUGUAAUCUGCCAUUGGAUUUGUUUUAGGCUAUUCAAGACUGAUUUGGUAGAUGAGUGUUCCUUUGUAAAGGAAGAACAAAGAAUAAAGAGUAG